CUGACAGUGGCCCUUCCAUUUUGAAGGGAUUGGCCCAAGGCCUUUGUCAUUGAACGCUUCACUUUCUGGCCAUAUUCCUGUAGUUUGAGUGAGUAGGUAUUUUAUAGUUAUGAAAAUAUAACAAGUGAUCACCUUGUGCAUCAUUACGUACUUAAGACUGCAGCAAUUAUUCCUUCUAAUAGAAAUUCUUGCCUCUAUGAAUGCAUUUAUCAAAAGAUUGUUUUUCCAUUUGACCCACACAAAGAAUCAGGAAAGGAAAGAGGAAAACCUGUAUCAAGAACACCAAUGAUGACGCCAUCUCCCAUGUUGGCUUCAUGAAGGAGGUUAGUUGGAGGAGAAGAUUCGGAAGGGCCAAGGUAAUCCCAACUUCUUGUUGUGUGCAAUUUGAACAAAUGAUUAGGAACCACAUGGACCACAUCAGGUAACUCUGCAAC